GACAGAGGGUGCUAGCGUUGUUCGGAAUGACUGGGCGUAAAGGGCGCGUAGGCGGUUUUUCAAGUCAGAUGUGAAAGCCCUGGGCUUAACCUGGGAACUGCAUUUGAUACUGGAUGACUGGAGUGCGAGAGAGGAAAGCGGAAUUCCUAGUGUAGAGGUGAAAUUCGUAGAUAUUAGGAGGAACACCAGAGGCGAAGGCGGCUUUCUGGCUCGCAACUGACGCUGAGGCGCGAAAGCGUGGGGAGCAAACAGG
rnacentral:rRNA from 1 species